UUGAGCUCACAGAAACUGGUCGUGUGGGUUACCAAUACAUAUGAUGAGCCCACAACUCAUGUCUUCAUCUCCUACGCUUUGACGGAAAUGCGAUUCCAGGGUUGCCAGUUAAAGGAUUCCAAGGCGAGGGUUUAAGAAGCAAUUGUUGUUUGAAACCGACAAAGAAGCUCCAGCUGAGUUACGGGGAUGAGUAUUUCUGGCCAAUCUAUGGUGGUAGCCGCCGUUUGGGUCGAAUCGCCUGGACCGUUAUGAAACUCUACUGCAUUCAGUCAUAUGUUAUUAAGGCUCCCAUUAACACCGAUUCCCCCACUCCUUCCAUGAUGUCUCAUUCAAUGCAAAUCGACAACUAUAAAUAUGUUUCUUUCUGUGAAAUUCAUAAUUCGUUCCUCCCAAUCAUCACUCUUAAACUUUCAGAGAUUAGAAUGGAAAACUCCUCUCUUCUUCUCCCCGAUUUGAAAUCCGGGUGUUGUGACUCCACCGUUAAGUUUGUCUGCAGAUUAAGAAGCUGUUCUGGGUGAAAAUCUCGGAGGUUCCGGUUAAGAAGAAUCAAAAACUCCCCAAACAGUUGUUAAGAAAGAUUAAGAUGUCCAAGUGAUUAAAAUGGCGAGGGAUGAGGAUUGGUUGCCUCCACCGCCAAAAGGUUAUCCUCAUUAAAAGCAAAGAGUCCGCAGAAGAUUUCAGCCAUUAAAUCAUUGAGGUAACAAUCACAGAUCAGUUUGUUUCUGUUAGGCUGACGGUGUGGUAGCAAUUAGCAAAGUUACUGAAAAUAUCAUGGAAUGGACAAAACAGAAACGCUUACAACGAACAGGAAGAAGCUGUUCCAGUUGGAGAUUUUCACUAAAGCAACUUCAUACGAAGAGUUUCUAAUUUGCUUUUAGUGUGUUUUAUCAUUUUCUUUUCCUAGAUGAAUUUGUAAGCAACCUCACAUAAAAUGUUUCAUUUAUGAACUUGCUGCAACCAUAAAAAAGUUUUUUACUAUUAUGCGUCAAUUUUUUAAUAAUACAGUAAAAAAGUCA